CCUACGGGAGGCAGCAGUGAGGAAUCUUGCGCAAUGGAGGAAACUCUGACGCAGCCACGCCGCGUGCCGGAAGACGGCCCUAUGGGUUGUAAACGGCUUUUGUUCGGGAAGAAAGUACGGGUUUUGAUCUGUAUUGACGGUACCGAUUGAAUAAGCACCGGCUAACUCCGUGCCAGCAGCCGCGGUAAUACGGAGGGUGCAAGCGUUGUCCGGAAUCAUUGGGUGUAAAGGGUGCGUAGGCUGGUGUCUAAGUCUGGGGUGAAAUUUUGCCGCUUAACGGUAACAUGGCCUUGGAUACUGGAUGCCUUGAAUCUGACAGAGGUCGGUGGAAUUCGUAGUGUAGCGGUGAAAUGCAUAGAUAUUACGAAGAACACCAGUGGCGAAGGCGGCCGGCUGGGUCAGUAUUGACGCUGAGGCACGAGAGCGUGGGGAGCGAACAGGAUUAGAUACCCUGGUAGUCCACGCUGUAAACGAUGUAUGCUAGUUGUUGGGCCUUUGGGUUCAGUGACGCAGUUAACGCCGUAAGCAUACCACCUGGGGAGUACGUUCGCAAGAAUGAAACUCAAAGGAAUUGACGG
rnacentral:rRNA from 1 species